rnacentral:rRNA from 1 species
CCGUAGGUGAACCUGCGGAAGGAUCAUUAUCGAAUAAAACUUGAACAGGCUGUUGCUGGCUCCCUCGGAUGCAUGUGCACGCUUGUCAUUUUUAUCUCAUUUCUCCUCUGUGCACCAACUGUAGGCCUGGAGUUUGGWUUGAAAUCCUUUCAGGUCUAUGUUUUUACAAUCUCUCAAUGUGUUUGGAAUGUCGAGUUGCAUAAUAUAUACAUACAACUUUCAGCAACGGAUCUCUUGGCUCUCGCAUCGAUGAAGAACGCAGCGAAAUGCGAUAAGUAAUGUGAAUUGCAGAAUUCAGUGAAUCAUCGAAUCUUUGAACGCAUCUUGCGCUCCUUGGUAUUCUGAGGAGCAUGCCUGUUUGAGUGUCAUCAAGUCCUCAACCAUAUUGAUUUUGCUUCGAUGUGGAUUGGAUAUGGGAGCCCAUGCAGGCCUUUCAAUUGAGAGGUCUGCUCUCCUGAAAUGAAUUAGUGGUGUCUGAGCAGUGACUUUUACUAUAUGGGUGUGAUAAUCAUUUAUGCCUUUGUGAAAYGCUGCGCAAACUGCUUCUAACCUCGUCGUUGACCAAUUUGACCUCAAAUCAGGUAGGACUACCCGCUGAACUUAA